CAGACACGGGCAUGAUCUCACACACAGACACAGAGGCAUGCAUGCCUACACAGACACACACACAGGCACUCACAGACACAGACACAGGCAUGAUCUCACACACAGACACAGAGGCACACAUGCCUACACAGACGCACACACACACACAGGCACUCACAGACACAGACACAGGCAUGAUCUCACACACAGACACAGAGGCACACAUGCCUACACAGACACACAGACAUACACACACACACAGGCACUCACAGACAUAGACAUAGGCAUGAUCUCACACACAGACACAGAGGCACACAUGCCUACACAAACAUAUGCACACACACACAGGCACACACAGACACAGGCAUGAUCUCACACACAGACACAGAGGCACACAUGCCUACACAGACACACACAGACACACACACACACAGGCACUCACAGACACAGACACAGGCAUGAUCUCACACACAGACACAGAGGCACACAUGCCUACACACACACACACACACACACAGGCACUCACAGACACAGACACAGACAUGAUCUCAGACACAGAGGCACACACGCCUACACAGACAAACACACGCACAGGCACUCACAGACACAGACACAGACAUGAUCUCACAGACACAGAGGCACACAUGCCU
rnacentral:lncRNA from 1 species